UACAGAGGUCCCAAGCGUUGUUCGGAAUCACUGGGCGUAAAGGGUGCGUAGGCGGGUCUUUAAGUCAGGGGUGAAAUCCUGGAGCUCAACUCCAGAACUGCCUUUGAUACUGAAGAUCUUGAGUUCGGGAGAGGUGAGUGGAACUGCGAGUGUAGAGGUGAAAUUCGUAGAUAUUCGCAAGAACACCGGUGGCGAAGGCGGCUCACUGGCUCAUUACUGACGCUCAGGCGCGACAGCGUGGGGAUCAAACAGG
rnacentral:rRNA from 1 species